UACGGAGGGUGCAAGCGUUAGUCGGAUUUACUGGGCGUAAAGGGUGCGUAGGCGGAGAUGUAAGUCAGUUGUGAAAUUCCGGGGCUCAACCUCGGAGCGGCAACUGAAACUGCGUUUCUAGAGGAAUGGUGGGGAAAACGGAAUUCCACGUGUAGCGGUGAAAUGCGUAGAUAUGUGGAAGAACACCUGUGGCGAAAGCGGUUUUCCAACCUCCUCCUGACGCUGAGGCACGAAAGCAAGGGGAGCAAACAGG
rnacentral:rRNA from 1 species